CCUACGGGUGGCUGCAGUGGGGAAUAUUGCACAAUGGGGGAAACCCUGAUGCAGCAACGCCGCGUGAGCGAAGAGGGCCUUCGGGUCGUAAAGCUCUGUCCUAAGGGAAGAAGCAUGACGGUACCUUAGGAGGAAGCCCCGGCUAACUACGUGCCAGCAGCCGCGGUAAUACGUAGGGGGCGAGCGUUAUCCGGAAUCACUGGGCGUAAAGGGUGCGUAGGCGGCCGAUUAAGCCAGGGGUGAAAGGCUACGGCUCAACCGUAGUAAGCCUUUGAAACUGUAGGGCUUGAGUGCAGGAGAGGAGAGUGGAAUUCCCAGUGUAGCGGUGAAAUGCGUAGAUAUUGGGAGGAACACCAGUUGCGAAGGCGGCUCUCUGGACUGUAACUGACGCUGAGGCACGAAAGCGUGGGGAGCGAACAGGAUUAGAUACCCCUGUAGUC
rnacentral:rRNA from 1 species